AAAAAGAUAAACCGUGGGUUUCCGUGUUCAACGUUUGACUGUCCGUCUUAUAUGAAAUUUUUUAUAAUUAGUAUUUUCAUUAUUGUUAGAUCGAUGAUGAAACAUGAUUAAUACUUUAUGCGUGAAUUGAUUUUUUAAUUUUUUUCAUAAUUUUUUCAAAUAAGACGGAUGGUCAAACGUUGGACAUGAAACCCAGGGUUUAUCUUUUU
rfam:Oryza meridionalis cultivar OR44 (W2112) chromosome 1, whole genome shotgun sequence.